AGCAUUGGUAAGGGAAGCAGUGAAGAAAUGCAUAUUGAAGGGGGGAAUCUGGAAUAUUUCAAGAUAAGGUCCAAUUCUUCCAUUGUCUCGUAAUCCAAUGCAGAGGUGUGAAAUGUAAGAUCAUCUGAAGGAGAGCUUUGGUUCAAGUCAAAUGCAUGCCUCAACCUAGCAGAGCCAAAGAGAUACUUGUAUGAUGUGAGUAAUAAUAACAUUCUGGUCUCCUGCACAGCCAGCUCUGCAUUAAUUACUCUUUAUUACAAUUGCCCUGUCUUGAUAAAUUGACUCUGUCUAGGCAGCAGAUAAAGCGAACCCCUUGGGCAGUUACAGAAUCUUGUACGGUAAAUUUAGACCUAGAAUAAAAUGACUGGUUGUUUAAGAAAGAGGAAUGUUCAGGACAAACCAGAAAGUCCAAACAUAUCAUUAAUGGUCUGUGUAUAAGACUUCACAACCUGCUGAAAAUGAGCUUUCCUAAUAACUCGGGACCUACCUGUCUAGGAAUAAACCAUCCUAAACAUGAAAGAUCAGAGAAAAUGGAAACACAAUAUAAUUUGGCUCCGCACCUGAGAUGCUCUCCAGCCAUGAUGGUAGAGUUCCUCAUUCUAGGGAUUAUGGACCCAGGCCAAGCCUGCUCCUUGAUACUGAAAGCUUUUAUCAAUAUUCUUUGGUAAGAGCUAUUCGGAUCAUAUCGGAUUUGAGAAAACUCACGAAGACCAAAAGAACCUCCAACAAUCAGCAACUAAAACAAAGAAAGGAAACAUUUAAGCAAAACAGAAGACCAGAAUUCAAAUUCAGCCUAUCUAUAGAUUGCUUUUCUAAACAACAAUAGAGGCACAUUAUACAAAAAUUCUAUAGAUUAUUUUUCCUGGUGAGUCACCAUUCAUCUU
rnacentral:lncRNA from 1 species